AACGCAUAUUGCACUCUCUGGUAUUCCGGAGAGUAUGCCUGUUUGAGGGUCAGUUAAAAAAAAUCAAGCGUUAUUGCUUUUUGUGAUGACGUUUGGAAUUGAGUCGUCUUAACCUUACGGUCAAGUGACUUAAAAUUUUUAAUGAUUUUCGAAACGUAUUUAAAUAUUUUACGUACGUUUGCGAUGUCAAAUAAUCUAUUAGAUGUGAUCAUUUUCCAUGAUUCGCGUCCAUAGUUUCUUAUUAAAUGACCUCAAAUCAGGUAAGAGUACCCGCUGAACUUAA
rnacentral:misc_RNA from 1 species